UACGGAGGGUGCAAGCGUUAUCCGGAUUCACUGGGCGUAAAGGGUGCGUAGGCGGUCGGGUAAGUCUGAUGUGAAAUCUCACAGCUUAACUGUGAAACUGCAUUGGAUACUAUCCGGCUAGAGGAAUGGAGGGGAGACUGGAAUACUUGGUGUAGCAGUGAAAUGCGUAGAUAUCAAGUGGAACACCAGUGGCGAAGGCGAGUCUCUGGACAUUUCCUGACGCUGGGGCACGAAAGCCAGGGGAGCAAACGGG
rnacentral:rRNA from 1 species